rnacentral:rRNA from 1 species
GGAUUAGAUACCCUGGUAGUCCACGCCGUAAACGAUGUGUGCUAGCCGUUUGUGAUUUAUCGCAAGUGGUGCAGCUAACGCGUUAAGCACACCGCCUGGGGAGUACGAUCGCAAGAUUAAAACUCAAAGGAAUUGACGGGGGCCCGCACAAGCGGUGGAGCAUGUGGUUUAAUUCGACGCAACGCGAAGAACCUUACCAGGUCUUGACAUCCUGAUUUUGGUCGUUAGAAAUAACUUCCUUCAGUUCGGCUGGAUCAGUGACAGGUGCUGCAUGGCUGUCGUCAGCUCGUGCCG